rnacentral:sRNA from 1 species
UCCUCUAUCAGGGUGCGGAGACUAUUGG